rnacentral:rRNA from 1 species
GAUGAACGCUGGCGGCGUGCCUAAUACAUGCAAGUCGAGCGAACAGACGAGGAGCUUGCUCCUCUGACGUUAGCGGCGGACGGGUGAGUAACACGUGGAUAACCUACCUAUAAGACUGGGAUAACUUCGGGAAACCGGAGCUAAUACCGGAUAAUAUAUUGAACCGCAUGGUUCAAUAGUGAAAGACGGUUUUGCUGUCCCUUAUAGGUGGAUCCGCGCCGCAUUAGCUAGUUGGUAAGGUAACGGCUUACCAAGGCAACGAUGCGUAGCCGACCUGAGAGGGUGAUCGGCCACACUGGAACUGAGACACGGUCCAGACUCCUACGGGAGGCAGCAGUAGGGAAUCUUCGGCAAUGGGCGAAAGCCUGACGGAGCAACGCCGCGUGAGUGAUGAAGGUCUUCGGAUCGUAAAACUCUGUUAUUAGGGAAGAACAAAUGUGUAAGUAACUAUGCACGUCUUGACGGUACCUAAUCAGAAAGCAACGGCUAACUACGUG